rnacentral:misc_RNA from 1 species
UGCCGGUUAGCUCAUGGGUGGAACGUUUGAUGAGGUGUGGGGGAGUGAUCUUCGAGUUAGUACGGCCUUCGGGUUGGGAACGCUGGGGGUGAGUGAGCCGGCACAUGCACGCUGUUGGGUCCUGAGGGACCGGAUGCGCUCUGAUCUUCGGAUUGGGAGCAGACGAACCUCAGGACUCUUUCUGUUGCCGGCUGGUGCUGGUGCGGGGAGGGUACCGCCCGUACUUUGAGAACUACACAGUGGACGCGAGCAUCUUCGAGAUGAGUAAUCAUCUCGUGAAGAUGAUCUUAAAGAUCAUUAGUCAAUUUCGAUUGACGAUUCAAACUCAUGUGAUU